rnacentral:rRNA from 1 species
CCUACGGGAGGCAGCAGUGAGGAAUAUUGGUCAAUGGGCGGAAGCCUGAACCAGCCAAGUAGCGUGCAGGAUGACGGCCCUACGGGUUGUAAACUGCUUUUAUACGGGAAUAACGCGCCUUACGUGUAGGGCUUUGCAUGUACCGUAUGAAUAAGGACCGGCUAAUUCCGUGCCAGCAGCCGCGGUAAUACGGAAGGUGCGGGCGUUAUCCGGAUUUAUUGGGUUUAAAGGGAGCGUAGGCCGCAUGUCAAGCGUGCUGUGAAAUGUCCGGGCUCAACCCGGGCCUUGCCGCGGGAACUGGAGUGCUUGAGUCCGCGAGAGGCAGGCGGAAUUCGUGGUGUAGCGGUGAAAUGCUUAGAUAUGACGAAGAACCCCGAUUGCGAAGGCAGCUUGCUGCAGCGGAACUGACGCUGAUGCUCGAAAGCGUGGGUAUCGAACAGGAUUAGAUACCCGAGUAGUC